GGCUGGUUUAAUAGUAGUAGGUUAUCAGAACUUACUAACAGUAUCACUAAAGUAGGUAUACAACCCCUGCUGCUCAAUUUGGCUUUAG
ensembl:misc_RNA Y_RNA Y RNA